GCCGCCUUUGUCCCUGGCCGCCUCAGCGCUCACAGCCCCGACCCGAGCGCCUUGGCCGUCGUCCUACAAGCGCCAUCUUGUCCCACGGCUCCCGGCACCGGAGAACCUGGCUCCCCGAAAGCCUAGCAACCAGAGAGGCUCCAACGCUGCAGGAGACGACGUGCCGCGCUGAGCUGACAGAGAAGGCGAGCAGCGCCUAACAGCAAAGGAGAAGCGCCCGGCACGGCGCCAUCUUACCUCCCCCACCGCGCGGCACCGCGCAGCUUGCCCUCUGGCUGCUCCGCCUGCUCGGAACGCGACCCUAGACGCUGAUUGGUUGCUGCGCUGAGGGUGCUGUGCUCCUAUUGGUCAGAACUAACACUAGCCUGUGGAGGGCGGGACAGUGAGAGACUCCACAACGGGAGUGGCUGAAGUGAAGUGUCUGUCAGAAACUCGGCCGGUGAGUGGGCCGUCGGAAAGGCGGGCCACCGCCAGUCGCCGGAUUCGGAUAUUUUUCCAUCUGAAGGGUUCGUCUUCUGGUGGCAGUAGUCUCCAGUCUUCUCGGGCAGCUACUUCUUUACCGUCCCUACACAGCAGAAGAGUAGACAUUGGGGUGGCUGGAGAAAUGGCACCGACUGCUCUUCUAGAGAUCCUGAGUUCAAUUCCCAGCAACCACAUGGUGGCUCACAACCAACUCUAACGGGAUCCGAUGCCCUCUUCUGCAGUGUCAGAAGACAGGGACAGUGUACUCAUAUGAAUAAAUCU
rnacentral:lncRNA from 1 species